UUCAUCCGCACUGUUCAUGAAUGGGUCUAUUUUGUGUAGCACAUGAACAUCCUUUGGAUGUGAUUCGGAAUAAAAUAAAGAUGCUAUGAUUGUCAGAAAUACACUUUAACUUUGGUAGCGGGAUAAAACCGCAACCAAAAACGUAAACAGCUGGGAAAUAUCCGAAAGUCCUUGGAAAAUCAAGCUGCAUAGAGAUCUAGGAGCUGUAUAGCGUAACGAAUAGGGAUGGAAGUUGGAAAACGACUGGCUGGGUGGGAAAGUGUUUCGACAUAAAUGCUGGCAUAUUACUUAAGGUUGAAUUGAUGUCUUGUGAUAAUAAACUUAGACAACAACCAACUAAAUGUGCCAUACGACAGUGAUGAACCGAUGAAAAGUGGAGGAAUCACGUACAGAUCUAUACAUGAAUUAAAAGACCAAGCAACCAAGGCUCUCAGAUUUUCUACCUAGUGUAUGAAAAGUACACAAGAAUUGGAUAAAAAUCGAUACUAUUAUCUACCCUUGUUUAUUAAGAUCAACGCUAUACACAGUUGUCUCCCUGCUGUUGGAAGCGGAGCAAACAGUGUAGUAUCUAUGGUCCACCAUCACUUCCAGCAUCAUGGCUAUGGAGAAAAGAAUGUUUCAUCACAUAUGGACAAUUACAGUGGACAAAAUAAGAACAGUGACUAUGUUGAAAUAAGUUAUGGAAUGUGGCGUGUUAUGAAGGGUCCACAUGAUUGAAGUACAGCCUGAUGGAAGCCGGGCAUACAAAAUUCAGUCCUGAUUGGCUUUUUGGCCUGUGGAAGAAUGUCUUCUGCACAACCUGGUAUAGUAUUCAUGAAGAUUAAUAACUUCAACAUAGAGACAGAGAUUAAUAUUCUUAGACAGGGGGUUGGUAUGACAGGCGAAUUCCCCAACGGUAUUACCAUUCCUGAGCUGGAUGCCAGUCAACAGUGGUACCUGUAUAAUGAAAUAGCGCCCCUUUGCAACGUUACAGCAGUGUGUGCUCAAAACCAGCAGUGCCAAAGCCAUUAAAAUUGAAAACUCAGUCAUUUAAAAUGAAGAAUGAUUGAAAAAAAGUGUUUUUGAAAGUGUUUUUGAUCUUUUUUUAAGGUGUACUAGACCCAAAUUUCAUAAUUUUAAAUAUGAACAAAUGCUACAUAUAGAUAAUGUAAACAUUGGAUUAACAAGUUUAUGUGUGUCAACAGUACUAUGCAUUGGUUAAAUAUAGAACACACUG
rnacentral:lncRNA from 1 species